rnacentral:rRNA from 1 species
GACGGAGGGCGCAAGCGUUGUUCGGAAUUACUGGGCGUAAAGCGCGGGCAGGCGGUCUGUUAAGUCGUUUGUGAAAAUCCGGGCUCAACCCGGAAAUGCAUACGAUACUGGCAGGCUGGAGACUGGUAGAGGCUAGCGGAAUUCCUGGUGUAGCGGUGGAAUGCGUAGAUAUCAGGAGGAACACCGAUGGCGAAGGCAGAUCUCUGGCCGUAACUGACGCUGGAGGAGCGAAAGCAUGGGAGCGAACAGG